rnacentral:lncRNA from 1 species
AUGGAAACGUGGCGGGCUCAUGAAGGCUGUCCUGCCCGCCCACACACAGAAGGAAGAGCAGGAUUAUGUGACAGAUUCCCGGAAAAGAUCCUGGUGGUGCCAUACAGCUCCUGCCGUCAGCAGGAAGGCAGAAGCAGAGUUCAGUGUUCCGGUGUGCAGGGUGGACCUUUCCUUGAAACAAUUUGGAAUCUGAUGAUCCGAAUCAAGACUGGAAGCAUGGUGUUAGUGCACCUGCUGAAAACGUGUAACAGAGUGGCAUCCCGCGAGCAAAAAACCCCAGCUCUGCCACUGCACUGCUCUCCUGGAUUCGCUUAGGCAAGUCAUUUAACUGUCUUUUUCUUUUUUUUUUCUUUUCUUAUUAGAAAAAUGGAUCAAAUGAUAAAACCUGUAGGGGCUAGUGGUGUGGUGUAGUGGGUUAAGCAACCACCUGUGACACUGGCAUUUCAUCCUGGAGGGCCAGUUCGAGUCCCAGCUGCUCCACUUCCAAUCCAGCUCCCUGCUAACAC